AAUGAACGUUGGCGGCAUGGAUUAGGCAUGCAAGUCGCACGAGAACCCAAUUAGCUUGCUAUGAGGGGGACAGUGGCGAAAGGGAGAGUAACGCGUGGUUACGUACCUUCGAGACCGGGAUAGUGUCGGGAAACUGGCAGUAAUACCGGAUAACAUCUUCGGAUCAAAUGGUGUGAUUCCGCUCGAAGAUCGGACCGCGUACUAUUAGCUUGUUGGUGGGGUAAUGGCCCACCAAGGCUGCGAUGGUUACCGGGUGUGAGAGCAUGGCCCGGCUCACUGGGACUGAGACACUGCCCAGACACCUACGGGUGGCUGCAGUCGAGAAUCUUCGGCAAUGGACGAAAGUCUGACCGAGCGAUGCCGCGUGCGGGAUGAAGGCCCUCGGGUUGUAAACCGCUGUCAGUUGUUAGGAAAUCCAUAGGGGUUCUCUCCUAUGGUUGACCGAUCUUCAGAGGAAGGACGGGCUAAGUUCGUG
rnacentral:rRNA from 1 species